rnacentral:rRNA from 1 species
GAAACCCUGACGCAGCAACGCCGCGUGUGGGAUGACGGCUUUCGGGUUGUAAACCACUUUCAGUGAUGACGAAAAUGACGGUAAUCACAGAAGAAGGUCCGGCCAACUACGUGCCAGCAGCCGCGGUAACACGUAGGGACCAAGCGUUGUCCGGAUUUAUUGGGCGUAAAGAGCUCGUAGGCGGUUUUGUAAGUCGGAUGUGAAAACUCAGGGCUCAACCCUGAGACGCCAUCCGAUACUGCAAUGACUAGAGUCCGGUAGAGGAAGAUGGAAUUCCUGGUGUAGCGGUGGAAUGCGCAGAUAUCAGGAGGAACACCAAUGGCGAAGGCAGUCUUCUGGGCCGGUACUGACGCUGAGGAGCGAAAGCAUGGGGAGCAAACAGGAUUAGAUACCCUGGUAGUCCAUGCCGUAAACGUUGGGCACUAGGUGUGGGACCUUCUAACGGGUUCCGUGCCGUAGCUAACGCAUUAAGUGCCCCGCCUGGGGAGUACGGCCGCAAGGCUAAAACUCAAAUGAAUUGACGGGG